rnacentral:lncRNA from 1 species
AAUUCACCAGUUACCACCGUUGAUGUAACAAACCAAAAACUCCCAAACUUCCUCUUAUCGGUACGUCUCAAAUACGUUAAACUUGGUUACCACUACUUAAUCUCUAAUGCCGUCUACAUCAUCCUCCUCCCCGUCCUCUUUGCUGCAACCUCCUCCUCCUUCAAACUCUCCGAUCUCACUCUCUUAUGUAACCACCUCCUCCAUUUCCACCUCCUCCCGUCCACUCUCUUCGCUACUCUUCUUAUCUUUCUAACAACUCUCUACUUCACAACCCGUCCUCGCAAAGUAUUCCUCCUCGACUUCGCUUGCUACAAACCCGACCCUUCUCUAAUAUGCACACG